rnacentral:lncRNA from 1 species
AGCUGUUGGCAUCCCCCACUGCCACGGGAGCCCAGCCUCUUCAGCUUUCCAGCAGGACUGAAGGCUAGCAGCUCUCUGGGAAUCCUCCAGGCCUUCAGUAAGAUUGUGACUGGCAUAACUGGCAUUCCACACAGGAAAGGAAGAAUUUGUUCCAGUCACCUCUGGUUGGCUUGUGAGGACCAACAGUUGAACAUGGAAAUGACGUCAGCUGACUGCGCUGGAUGAGCAAUAAGCAAGACUUAGUUAUUCAGGCUGAAAGGAGAGUGUGAAACGAAGAUGAUGCAGUGGUUUGCGCACCUCAUUCCUUUCCUUAAAUGUUCA